rnacentral:rRNA from 1 species
UUGGGCGUAAAGGGAGUGCAGGCGGUUAUUUAAGUCUGAUGUGAAAGCCUUCGGCUUAACCGGAGAAGGGCAUCGGAAACUGGAUAACUUGAGUGCAGAAGAGGGUAGUGGAACUCCAUGUGUAGCGGUGGAAUGCGUAGAUAUAUGGAAGAACACCAGUGGCGAAGGCGGCUACCUAGUCUGUAACUGACGCUGAGGCUCGAAAGCAUGGGUAGCAAACAGGAUUAGAUACCCUGGUAGUCCAUGCCGUAAACGAUGAAUACUAGGUGUUAGGGGGUUUCCGCCCCUUAGUGCCGCAGCUAACGCAAUAAGUAUUCCGCCUGGGGAGUACGACCGCAAGGUUGAAACUCAAAGGAAUUGACGGGGACCCGCACAAGCGGUGGAGCAUGUGGUUUAAUUCGAAGCUACGCGAAGAACCUUACCAGGGCUUGACAUCUUCUGCUAAUCCGAGAGAUCGGACGUUCCCUUCGGGGACGGAAAGACAGGUGGUGCAUGGUUGUCGUCAGCUCGUGUCGUGAGAUGUUGGGUUAAGUCCCGCAACGAGCGCAACCCUUAUGAUUAGUUGCCAGCAUUAAGUUGGGCACUCUAAUGAGACUGCCGGUGACAAACCGGAGGAAGGUGGGGACGACGUUAAAUCAUCAUGCCCCUUAUGUCCUGGGCUAC